UACGUAGGGCGCAAGCGUUUGUCCCGGAAUUAUUGGGGCGUAAAGAGCUCGUAGGCGGCUUGUCACGUCGAUUGUGAAAGCCCGAGGCUUAACCUCGGGCCUGCAGUCGAUACGGGCUAGCUAGAGUGUGGUAGGGGAGAUCGGAAUUCCUGGUGUAGCGGUGAAAUGCGCAGAUAUCAGGAGGAACACCGGUGGCGAAGGCGGAUCUCUGGGCCAUUACUGACGCUGAGGAGCGAAAGCGUGGGGAGCGAACAGG
rnacentral:rRNA from 1 species